GACGAACGCUGGCGGCGUGCUUAACACAUGCAAGUCGAGCGGUGAAGUUCCUUCGGGGACGGAUUAGCGGCGGACGGGUGAGUAACACGUGGGUAACCUGCCUCAUGGAGGGGAAUAGCCUUCCGAAAGGAAGAUUAAUACCGCAUAAGAUUGUAGUAUCGCAUGAUACAGCAAUUAAAGGAGCAAUCCGCUAUGAGAUGGACCCGCGUCGCAUUAGCUAGUUGGUGAGGUAACGGCUCACCAAGGCGACGAUGCGUAGCCGACCUGAGAGGGUGAUCGGCCACAUUGGGACUGAGACACGGCCCAGACUCCUACGGGAGGCAGCAGUGGGGAAUAUUGCACAAUGGGGGAAACCCUGAUGCAGCAACGCCGCGUGAGUGAUGAAGGUCUUCGGAUUGUAAAACUCUGUCUUCAGGGACGAUAAUGACGGUACCUGAGGAGGAAGCCACGGCUAACUACGUGCCAGCAGCCGCAGUAA
rnacentral:rRNA from 1 species